GUCAGGUGUGUGUGAGUGUGUGCAUGUGUCCUCAGGGGAGUGGGAGUCAGGUGUGUGUGAGUGUGUGCAUGUGUCCUCAGGGGAAUGGGAGUCAGGUGUGUGUGAGUGUGUGCAUGUGUCCUCAGGGGAAUGGGAGUCAGGUGUGUGUGAGUGUGUGCAUGUGUCCUCAGGGGAAUGGGAGUCAGGUGUGUGUGAGUGUGUGCAUGUGUCCUCAGGGGAAUGGGAGUCAGGUGUGUGUGUGUGUGUGCAUGUGUCCUCAGGGGAAUGGGAGUCAGGUGUGUGUGAGUGUGUGCAUGUGUCCUCAGGGGAAUGGGAGUCAGGUGUGUGUG
ensembl:lncRNA